rnacentral:rRNA from 1 species
GAUGAACGCUGGCGGCGUGCCUAAUACAUGCAAGUCGAGCGAACAGACGAGGAGCUUGCUCCUCUGACGUUAUCGGCGGACGGGUGAGUAACACGUGUAUAACCUACCUAUAAUACUUGUAUAACUUCGGGAAACCUUAGCUAAUACCGUAUAAUAUCUUGAACCGCAUGGUUCUAUAGUUCAAUUCGUUUUUGCUGUCACUUAUAGAUUGAUCCGCGCCGCAUUUGCUAGUUGGUAAGGUAACGGCUUACCAAGGCAACGAUGCGUAGCCGACCUGAGAGGGUGAUAGGCAAAACUGGAAGUGAGACACGGACCAGAAGCCUACGGGAGGCAGCAGUAGGGAAUAUUACGCAAUGGGCGAAAGCAUGACGGAGCAACGCCGCGUGAGAGAUGAAGGACUUAGGAUCGUAAAACUCUGUUAUUAGGGAAGAAAAAAAGUGUAAGAAAAGAUGCACGUAAUGACGGUAACUAAAAAGAAAGCAACGGCUAACUACGUG